rnacentral:rRNA from 1 species
GACGAACGCUGGCGGCGUGCUUAACACAUGCAAGUCGAACGGAAAGGCCCUGCUUUUGUGGGGUGCUCGAGUGGCGAACGGGUGAGUAACACGUGAGUAACCUGCCCUUGACUUUGGGAUAACUUCAGGAAACUGGGGCUAAUACCGGAUAGGAGCUCCUGCUGCAUGGUGGGGGUUGGAAAGUUUCGGCGGUUUGGGAUGGACUCGCGGCUUAUCAGCUUGUUGGUGGGGUAGUGGCUUACCAAGGCUUUGACGGGUAGCCGGCCUGAGAGGGUGACCGGCCACAUUGGGACUGAGAUACGGCCCAGACUGCUACGGGAGGCAGCAGUGGGGAAUAUUGCACAAUGGGCGGAAGCCUGAUGCAGCAACGCCGCGUGCGGGAUGACGGCCUUCGGGUUGUAAACCGCUUUCGCCUGUGACGAAGCGUGAGUGACGGUAAUGGGUAAAGAAGCACCGGCUAACUACGUG